rnacentral:rRNA from 1 species
AGAGUUUGAUCCUGGCUCAGAUUGAACGCUGGCGGCAGGCUUAACACAUGCAAGUCGAGCGGGGAAAGGUAGCUUGCUACCUAACCUAGCGGCGGACGGGUGAGUAAUGCUUAGGAAUCUGCCUAUUAGUGGGGGACAACAUUCCGAAAGGAAUGCUAAUACCGCAUACGCCCUACGGGGGAAAGCAGGGGAUCUUCGGACCUUGCGCUAAUAGAUGAGCCUAAGUCAGAUUAGCUAGUUGGUGGGGUAAAGGCCUACCAAGGCGACGAUCUGUAGCGGGUCUGAGAGGAUGAUCCGCCACACUGGGACUGAGACACGGCCCAGACUCCUACGGGAGGCAGCAGUGGGGAAUAUUGGACAAUGGGCGAAAGCCUGAUCCAGCCAUGCCGCGUGUGUGAAGAAGGCCUUUUGGUUGUAAAGCACUUUAAGCGAGGAGGAGGCUACUUGGAUUAAUACUCUAGGAUAGUGGACGUUACUCGCAGAAUAAGCACCGGCUAACUCUGUGCCAGCAGCCGCGGUAAUACAGAGGGUGCGAGCGUUAAUCGGAUUUACUGGGCGUAAAGCGUGCGUAGGCGGCUUUCUAAGUCGGAUGUGAAAUCCCUGAGCUUAACUUAGGAAUUGCAUUCGAUACUGGGAAGCUAGAGUAUGGGAGAGGAUGGUAGAAUUCCAGGUGUAGCGGUGAAAUGCGUAGAGAUCUGGAGGAAUACCGAUGGCGAAGGCAGCCAUCUGGCCUAAUAC